rnacentral:rRNA from 1 species
CCUACGGGGGGCAGCAGUGGGGAAUAUUGGACAAUGGGCGCAAGCCUGAUCCAGCAAUACCGCGUGUGUGAAGAAGGCCUUAGGGUUGUAAAGCACUUUUAUGUGGGAAGAAGGUGCAUUGGUUAAUAGCUGAUGUAUUUGACGGUACCACAAGAAUAAGCACCGGCUAACUCCGUGCCAGCAGCCGCGGUAAUACGGAGGGUGCGAGCGUUAAUCGGAAUUACUGGGCGUAAAGGGUACGUAGGCGGCUUAAUAAGUCAGAUGUGAAAUCCCCGGGCUUAACCUGGGAACUGCAUUUGAAACUGUUUGGCUAGAGUGAGUGAGAGGUUAGUGGAAUUCAAGGCGUAGCGGUGAAAUGCGUAGAGGUCUUGAGGAACAUCAGUGGCGAAGGCGACUAACUGGCACUACACUGACGCUGAGGUACGAAAGCGUGGGGAGCGAACAGGAUUAGAUACCCUGGUAGUCCACGCCCUAAACGAUGAGGACUGGCUGUCGGCGCUAUAGACGCGUCGGUAGCGAAGCUAACGCGUUAAGUUCUCCGCCUGGGGAGUACGACCGCAAGGUUGAAACUCAAAGGAAUUGACGGGGGCCCGCACAAGCGGUGGAGCAUGUGGUUUAAUUCGAUGCAACGCGAAGAACCUUACCAUCCCUUGACAUCCUCAGAAUGAUCUGUAAUCGAUCAGUGCCUUCGGGAACUGAGUGACAGGUGCUGCACGGCUGUCGUCAGCUCGUGUCGUGAGAUGUUGGGUUAAGUCCCGCAACGAGCGCAACCCCUAUCUAUAGUUGCCAGCACAUAAUGGUGGGAACUCUAUAGAGACUGCCGGUGAUAAGCCGGAGGAAGGUGGGGACGACGUCAAGUCAUCAUGGCCCUUACGGGAUGGGCUACACACGUGCUACAAUGGUGCAUACAGAGGGUUGCCAACCUGCGAGGGGGAGCUAAUCUCAGAAAGUGCAUCUUAGUCCGGAUUGCAGUCUGCAACUCGACUGCAUGAAGUCGGAAUCGCUAGUAAUCGCGAAUCAGCUACGUCGCGGUGAAUACGUUCCCGGGCCUUGCACACACCGCCCGUC